AGAAGAGGAGCUUGCUCCUCGAUUCAGCGGCGGACGGGUGAGUAAUGCCUAGGAAUCUGCCUAGUAGUGGGGGACAACGUUUCGAAAGGAACGCUAAUACCGCAUACGUCCUACGGGAGAAAGUGGGGGAUCUUCGGACCUCACGCUAUUAGAUGAGCCUAGGUCGGAUUAGCUAGUUGGUAGGGUAAAGGCCUACCAAGGCGACGAUCCGUAACUGGUCUGAGAGGAUGAUCAGUCACACUGGAACUGAGACACGGUCCAGACUCCUACGGGAGGCAGCAGUGGGGAAUAUUGGACAAUGGGCGAAAGCCUGAUCCAGCCAUGCCGCGUGUGUGAAGAAGGCCUUCGGGUCGUAAAGCACUUUAAGUUGGGAGGAAGGGCUCAUAGCGAAUACCUGUGAGYUUUGACGUUACCAACAGAAUAAGCACCGGCUAACUUCGUGCCAGCAGCCGCGGUAAUACGAAGGGUGCAAGCGUUAAUCGGAAUUACUGGGCGUAAAGCGCGCGUAGGUGGCUUGAUAAGUUGGAUGUGAAAUCCCCGGGCUCAACCUGGGAACUGCAUCCAAAACUGUCUGGCUAGAGUGCGGUAGAGGGUAGUGGAAUUUCCAGUGUAGCGGUGAAAUGCGUAGAUAUUGGAUGACACCAGUGGCGAGGCGACUACUUGUACUGACCUGACACUGAGUGCGAAGCGUGGGGAGCAACAGAUUAAAUACCCUGGCUAGUCC
rnacentral:rRNA from 1 species